rnacentral:rRNA from 1 species
GACGAACGCUGGCGGCGUGCUUAACACAUGCAAGUCGAACGGAAAGGCCCUGCUUUUGUGGGGUGCUCGAGUGGCGAACGGGUGAGUAACACGUGAGUAACCUGCCCUUGACUUUGGGAUAACUUCAGGAAACUGGGGCUAAUACCGGAUAGGAGCUCCUGCUGCAUGGUGGGGGUUGGAAAGUUUCGGCGGUUUGGGAUGGACUCGCGGCUUAUCAGCUUGUUGGUGGGGUAGUGGCUUACCAAGGCUUUGACGGGUAGCCGGCCUGAGAGGGUGACCGGCCACAUUGCGACUGAGAUACGGCCCAGCCUCCUACGGGCGGCAGCAGUGGGGAAUAUUGCACACUGGGCGGAAGCCUGAUGCAGCAACGCCGCGUGCGGGAUGACGGCCUUCGGGUUGUAAACCGCUUUCGCCUGUGACGAAGCGUGAGUGACGGUAAUGGGUAAAGAAGCACCGGCUAACUACGUG